UUUUUUGAUCACUGGUUGCAUGCAUAGAUUUGAUUUCAAUAUGCAUAGACUGGUACAACGAUAGCAUUUACGUGUUCCAAGCAAUCUGCAGUUCACAUCUAAGUGAGACAUGCACUUUACUUUACAUAUAUGCAAGUAGUUUAUGAGUUUUUAAUUAUAAUCUCUUGACUUUGCUAUUGUUUAGCUUGGUCAUUUCAUUUCUAUGUUCCAUCAUGCUGUGUACACUGUGCUUACUGUCCAUUCAAAGUUCAAACAAGCAAACAUGUUGCAUGACCAAUGCAUUCUUGUCAUUGAUGCAAGCACUAAGAUGCAAUGUGAAUGGCUGGUAAUGAGUAAUGCAUGCAUUUUCUAUAGCUGUGCAAUUGAAAUAGAAGUUGUGGGCUAUUAUAUCCAUUUUCUUGACGCAUACUAAUGUAAGUGUUGCCCAAGAUUCGGAGACUAGAGUGAAAAAUUGGAAGACUGUUGACAUUUCAAAAGUUAAAUAGAAACACAGAGAUGUCUUAAGAUUCAGAGAGUGAAGAAUUGGAAGAUUGUUGACAUUUCAAAAAUUAAAUACAAAUUAGUGCAGAGAUGUAUACACAUGUUAAUUAGAAUGAUGUAUAAUUUUGUAAUCGAUUUGAACUUAAAACCCUAUUAUUUACCUAAUAUUUACUUUUGGGUAUGAUUUUGCCACCUCUUGGGGGAGCCACUUUUUUUAAUCAUAUUCUUAAUUAUUCUGGUUCAAUCUAGUACUAGAAUCUGUCAGGAUAAGGGGAGAUCAAGGUUGAAGCCUGUGGGAGGCUGAUGUAACUUGUCCUAUUCAAAAAGAUACUCCUUCUAUCUACUGCCAAAAUCUGUCAGGAUCAGGAGAGAUCUAUAUUUAGAUAGGGGUCAAGGGUCUCUAGGUCAUUUGUUAAUUCUGUUUCUGAAUAAACUGAUUGAAUUUCAUCCAGUCCACUCAACGCUGUUGAAGCUCGUAGCUGUUUGUAUAAUUUGUACUUGAAUUUAUGAUUAUAGAAAAGAAACUCAUUUCUUAAAAGUCUUUGAAAAAAUAAAAAUUCUAUCCCUCUCAAAUAUGAAAAAUGGAGUAUUUAGGACCCAUGCUUCACUUAUGUUUACCUUGAAAACACUUUGAUGGUAAAUAACAGAACAGAAUACUCAUAUUAAUCUGGUUGUCUUCUUGCCUCGCUGUCUCUUGUUUAUUUUUCUUUCACACUUCCUUUCCAUGUGAAUUAAAAUAUGCUCGGUACAUACUAUGCAUGCAUUAUUUUGUAGGUUGAAUUUGUACACAUGAGUAAUUCAAUUUUUCUUUGUUGUAUAGCCAGCAAGGGUGGCACUAAGCUCAGGAUGUGAGGGGGUAUCUGCCAUUAACACCAUCAUGAGUGUAAUGGGAAUCAAUUUGAAAACCUUACGGCCAGAGCCUUGUGUUGAGGGGUUUGCAUUCUGAAAAGCAAAAAACAGUUCCAAGUUAACAAUUAGUCUCUCAUAAAAUUUAUGUACUUUAAUUUUGCUGACAGAUACUCAACUCCUGGGGGUUAUUCUUCCAAGGCAGUCCAUCCUAUUGCACUUGGAAAAGUGAUGGCCAUUGCCAAGAUGAUGAAGUCAGAAUUUAAUGAGCAGCAGUACUCACUUUCUGGUAUUGGAGGUGUUGAAACAGGUAGUGAUGCUGCUGAGUUUAUUCUUCUUGGAGCAAAUACAGUUCAGGUACAAUGUUUGUGUUGCGUUGUUAUAUCAUUCUGUGACUGUUACUAUCUUAUUUUAUUCAUUUGUAACUUUUAGACAUUGGUUGUCUGUUGAACUGUGCUUAUUUUUAUUUUCCGUUUUUCACUAAUUCUUUCAACACUUUAUUUUUGUUUCUUUUCCACAAUUAAAACAUGGAAUAUCACAAGUAGGUUCUUCAAUGUAUGAAUGAUAAUACCAAUGUUUAUCACAAGCAAAAAAGCAUGAAAAAUCAAUCAUUCAUUCAUUUCCAUUAAUCUGAGUUCUUCUAAAAUGUGGCUCAACUUAUGUUAAUAAGAAACUUUGCAAUAUCCUAACGUUAACAUUGUUUUGGGAGUGGGUGAGGGAUGGGAAAGGAAGGGGUAAAGAAGGAGGUUAACCUUAAGAGCUUGUUUGGUGGGAAUGGAAUGGUAAAUUGUUAAUACUGUCAAAUGCUUACACAGGGAAGAUGAAAUUACUUCCUCUUUCCCUUGUUCCUUCCCAAACAGGAGAAGAUUAAAAAGUAACUUUCCCUUCCCUUCUCCUUCCCUUCUUUACUUUAACAAGUCGGUGGAGUGUCUACGCAUUGAGAAGUGGAUUCAAGUAGUCAGGGAGAGUAAGGGAAGUAAUAAACCUAAAAUGGAGCAAGAUUGAAUGGUAAAAAAUGUUUUAAUACCAAAGCUGAAAUGGAAGACAGUGACCUAAUUAUUUAAUCCCAAUUAGUGUGGAAUUGAAAUUUAGAUUAGUAUCUAUGUCUCUCUCCCUUAUUAUUCUGUUAUUUUAUUUAUUUAUUUAUUUA
rnacentral:misc_RNA from 1 species